rnacentral:lncRNA from 1 species
UUUAAAAAAAUAUAUAUUAAUGUACCAAAAGGUUAUGACCGUUUAAAAAUCACGGGGAGGGAGGAGUUAGUUUUUUAUAAGGGGAUGAAAUGUAAAUACUAACUACUUAUCUAUAACUUUGCUAAUGAUGAGGGAUUAAAGUGUAAUCUAGAUGAGAGAAUUAAAUUGAUGUUGUUGGGCUUUAAUCAAUUGUACACUAAGGCAUCAUCUACUUGUACCUUUUAAUCCACACGUCAAUACUGACCAAGAUAACUAUCGAAACGUCGACAAAAAUGAGUAGGUUGUCACGAUACUUUUGGAAUUUUGUAAAACAUUAUCGUUUAUAAGAUAUGGCAAGAAUAUGUAAAAAAAUUAUAAGUUUGUUGUGGAGAGGAA